UGAGUACGAGAUGCUACGGCAUCGAAGCAGUCUAUGUCAUACUUCCAAGAAAAGCUUGCACUGUCAGAAACAGAUAAUGCCUGUACCAUAACCGACACAGGUGGGUAGGUAGAGUAUACUAAGGGGCGCGAGAUAACUCUCUCUAAGGAACUCGGCAAAAUGACUCCGUAACUUCGGGAGAAGGAGUGCCUUAUUUUUAAGGUUGCAAUAACAAGAUCCAAGCAACUGUUUACCAAAAACACAGGUCUCCGCUAAGUCGUAAGACGAUGUAUGGGGGCUGACGCCUGCCCAGUGCCAGAAGGUUAAAGAAGUCGGUUAGCAUUCGCGAAGCUGGUAACUGAAGCCCUGGUGAACGGCGGCCGUAACAAUAACGGUCCUAAGGUAGCGAAAUUCCUUGUCGGGUAAGUUCCGACCCGCACGAAAGGCGUAAUGAUUUGGAUACUGUCUCGGAGAGGGGCUCGGUGAAAUAGACUUGUCUGUGAAGAUGCGGACUACCUGCACCUGGACAGAAAGACCCUAUGAAGCUUUACUGUAACUUGAAAUUGAAAUUGGACUUUAUUUGCGCAGUAUAGGUGGGAGGCGUUGAAAAUAUUCUUGCGGGAAUAUUGGAGCCAUCAGUGAGAUACCACUCUUGUAAUGUUAGAUUUCUAACUUUAUAUCAUUAUCUGGUUAAAGAACAGUUUCAGGCGGGCAGUUUGACUGGGGCGGUCGCCUCCCAAAUGGUAACGGAGGCGCACAAAGGUUUCCUCUGAACGGGUAGAAAUCGUAUCUAGAGUGUAAAGGCAUAAGGAAGCUUGACUGUGAGACCUACAAGUCGAGCAGGGACGAAAGUCGGUCUUAGUGAUCUGACGGUGCUGAGUGGAAAGGCCGUCACUCAACGGAUAAAAGUUACUCUAAGGAUAACAGGCUGAUCUCCCCCAAGAGUUCACAUCGACGGGGAGGUUUGGCACCUCGAUGUCGGCUCAUCGCAUCCUGGGGCGGUAGUACGUCCCAAGGGUUGGGCUGUUCGCCCAUGAAAGCGGUACGCGAGCUGGGUUCAGAACGUCGUGAGACAGUUCGGUCCAUAUCCGGUGUAGGCGUUAGAAUAUUGAGAGGAGCCUUCUUUAGUACGAGAGGACCGAGAAGGACAUACCUCUGGUGUACCAGUUAUCGUGCCAACGGUAAACGCUGGGUAGCUAUGUAUGGAGUGGAUAACCGCUGAAAGCAUCUAAGUGGGAAGCCCACCUCAAGAUAAGUAUUCUCAC
rnacentral:rRNA from 1 species